GCUCUGUAUGUGAAGAAUAUACUUGAGAAUACUACUACCAAACAAUUCAAGGAACUGUUCUCUUGUCAUGGAGAAGUAACAAAAGUAGUCAUGCCACCUAGCAAAGCUGGAGGGAAGCGUGAUUUUGGUUUCAUCCAUUAUGCAGAGAGGUCAAGUGCAUUAAAGGCCGUAAAAGACUCGGAGAAAUACGAAAUUGAUGGUACUUCUUUAUGAUUCAGUUAUAAACUGGGUUCUGUCUGAAUCAUGUUAAAACAUACACCUCUUUGUGAUGGAUUGGAACUUCAGGUCAAUUGCUCGAGGUUGUUCUUGCCAAACCUCAAGCUGAGAAAAAACCCGAUAUGGGUUACGGCAAAAAUCUAUUAACUAUAUCUUGUGCUAUCAUUUUGUCAAAUUGAUGCUUAAGUAUUUCAGGAAAGAAAAUUGAUGUUCUCUAGCUUUCAUUACUUUUUUGGACAAGGUAAAUUUAUGCUAUACCUUAAAGUUGAAAGGAAAGUAACAAUUGUGUUUUGUGCAGAGAACAGGGAGAUGGGGUUGCUUUCUACUCUAUUACCACAUGAAGUUUGCAUUUCUUGUUUCGCUACAGCUUCCUGCUAUUAAUAUAAGCUUAAUCAAACGUCUGCACAUUACUACUUUCCUUGCCGUGUUUUCAGAGAAUUUGCUUCGUUAGUUAGUUAGUUAAUACUAUCUUUUUUAGCUCUUGAGCAGGAUAUAUUGUAUUAUGCUAUUUUACUUCUCUUUUAACUAUCCUCUUCUAUGGGAUAACAUUUUCGGUAUAUUGGGUAGUAAUAAAUUAACAAAACCACAUGGUGCUUGUUGAACAGGGUGCAAAACAACUCUAUACCAAUCAUUUGCGUCCAUUCCUGUUGAGGCAUCAAGCUAGACUUGAUCAAGUUGUCGAUGUUGUGUAUGGUGAAAUGAGUAAAUCUGUCAUUGCACACCAGGUGGAAUUCCAACUUGCAAGAUCUCUAUGGAUGAACAUUUUAGUGACAGCAAAUCAAAUGGUUAGGAGUAUCAUUCUACCGGUUAGAAGGGAACCAAAUCAUAUCGAAGGACCAAAGAGGCUGUAGGUUCAGGAUUCUGAAUUAGACGAAGAGUGAUCUGUUUGUUUCUCGUCAUUAGACAAUCAUCGAUUGGAUAGUUUUAAAAUGUACAAAUAUUGUAAUAUGUGUGUAGUUUUGUCUUAGUUCUGAGCUUUAAAUUU